rnacentral:rRNA from 1 species
UGUAAGCGUAUACCAAAGUUGUUGCAGUUAAAACGCUCGUAGUCGGAAUUUGGCAGUUCCGGAAGUGUGCACGUCGUGUGCGCACUUUGCGGGGACUGCUUUUGUGGUCUUGCGUAGGAUGAGGCACUUUCAUUAGUGAACGUCCUCACGCAACCACUCUUUACUGUGAGAAAAUCAGAGUGCUCAAAGCAGGCAUUUGCCGUGAAUGUAUUAGCAUGGAAUAAUAGAAUAGGACUCGGUUCUAGUUUGUUGGUUUGUUGGGACUGAGUAAUGAUUAAGAGGGACAGUUGGGGGCAUUUGUAUUCCGGCGCUAGAGGUGAAAUUCUUAGAUUGCCGGAAGACAAACUGCUGCGAAAGCGUCUGCCAAGGAUGUUUUCAUUGA